rnacentral:rRNA from 1 species
UGCCAGCCGCCGCGGUAAUACGGAGGAUCCAAGCGUUAUCCGGAUUUAUUGGGUUUAAAGGGUCCGCAGGCGGAAAAUUAAGUCAGUGGUGAAAUCCUACAGCUUAACUGUAGAACUGCCGUUGAUACUGGUUUUCUUGAGUUAUUGUGAAGUAGUUAGAAUGUGUAGUGUAGCGGUGAAAUGCAUAGAUAUUACACAGAAUACCGAUUGCGAAGGCAGAUUACUAACAAUUAACUGACGCUGAGGGACGAAAGCGUGGGUAGCGAACAGGAUUAGAUA